rnacentral:rRNA from 1 species
CUACGUGCCAGCAGCCGCGGUAAUACGUAGGGUGCGAGCGUUAAUCGGAAUUACUGGGCGUAAAGCGAGCGCAGACGGUUACUUAAGCAGGAUGUGAAAUCCCCAGGCUUAACCUGGGAACUGCGUUCUGAACUGGGUAGCUAGAGUAUGUCAGAGGGGGGUAGAAUUCCACGUGUAGCAGUGAAAUGCGUAGAGAUGUGGAGGAAUACCGAUGGCGAAGGCAGCCCCCUGGGAUAAUACUGACGUUCAUGCUCGAAAGCGUGGGUAGCAAACAGGAUUAGAUACCCUGGUAGUCCACGCCCUAAACGAUGUCGAUUAGCUGUUGGGCAGCUUGACUGCUUAGUAGCGUAGCUAACGCGUGAAAUCGACCGCCUGGGGAGUACGGUCGCAAGAUUAAAACUCAAAGGAAUUGACGGGGACCCGCACAAGCGGUGGAUGAUGUGGAUUAAUUCGAUGCAACGCGAAGAACCUUACCUGGUCUUGACAU